GGAAAAGCUCAGCAGGUCGAGCAGCAUCUGUGGAGGAGAAAACGUUUUGGGUCUGGUGAUCCUUCCUCAGAACUGAUGGUGGCUGGGAAAACAUCAGUUUAUAUGCAGAAAAUAGCAUUUUCACAGGCCUUCAGGAAUGUCGAGAUUUAUCUUGGAACCUACCAUUCACCUGUGUUGGAAAAAUUCCUGAUGCUCCUUUGAAAAAUAGACCAAUUUUGGUCCCAGCUCUCUGCCUGAGUACAUAUUGGAUUGUCUGUUCCAAUGCAAGGAUUGAAGAAAAUCUGGUAAUUCUUCAUCCCUCCAGCUGACUAUGGUUACCGAAUAUAGCUCCCUUAAACCGGAUAUUGGAGAAAAUCAUCCCACAGCGAUAACUGCAUCUUUGCAAAUAGCUUUCUAUGAAGUUGAUGAUGACAGUCCUUGCUUUUCUCUUGACCGCAAAUCCUGGGCCAAUCCUGUGGUGCCAGCAGAGAGGUUGGAAAGUGCCUUGAACCAAUGUGCGAUGCCUCAAGGUCUGCUGAAAUUGGAUGUCCAGACGUGUUGAGGGUCACCCAUGAGUAAGGGAGUAGAGAAACUGCGGCAGUUUCAAACUCUGAAAAAAAAUACUUAUACAUUCUACGUUACAACAUUAAAGAUUACAACAAUCGUUGUAUUGGCAACUUCAUGAAUAGAACAGAGAGCCUGUAAGUCUACAAACCCACAACAUCCUGCUCUGGAUCACGUAUUGUCAGUACCCUUCCCAUGCAUAAAAAAGCAAAGCUCAAUGUGUUAUUUGAAUGAAGAUGUAGGCACAUUCUUACAUAGUCAAUUAGUCAGAGAAGUAACUUUGUGAACUAACUGUUAAAGAUACAGAUUAUUGUUUAAAAACUUGGAUUGUAUAUUAUGUUAAAGCUUAAUAUAGCCUUGGUUAUGAGAUUAAUUGUAGACCAUUCAAGGCCUUCACAUAAACAGCAAACUUCAGGGAAUGAGUUAGACCCUGCACAGACUUCAGAUCUGCUUUUUUUAACAAUGGCAAUGUGAAUGAGUAAUCUGAUGAGAAGUUGGAAAUAACAGGAAGCUACAACAACUAAUAAUAGCCAUUCUGCACAGACACAUUGGUACAUUUGAAAUGAUCAAAUAUAAAUACUGUUUAGUUUUCUAUAUCUGACUGUGGUCUAACCCCGACAGUGUUGUUAACUAUUGGAAUAUUGCACUUAUCUCCUUGGGCCCUUUGUUAUACUCAAAAUCUUGUUAUUGAUAAAUCAAUUGAUAUGCAGAAAUUGAGUUCUUUCAAAACUCAGGGCACC